rnacentral:rRNA from 1 species
GACGAACGCUGGCGGCGUGCUUAACACAUGCAAGUCGAGCGGUAAGGCCCCUUCGGGGGUACACGAGCGGCGAACGGGUGAGUAACACGUGAGCAAUCUGCCCAUCACAUCGGGAUAACUCCGGGAAACCGAAGCUAAUACCGAAUACGACCACCUCCGGCAUCGGAUGGUGGUGGAAAGUUCCGGCGGUGAUGGAUGAGCUCGCGGCCUAUCAGCUUGUUGGUGGGGUAACGGCCCACCAAGGCUUCGACGGGUAGCCGGCCUGAGAGGGUGACCGGCCACACUGGGACUGAGACACGGCCCAGACUCCUACGGGAGGCAGCAGUGGGGAAUAUUGGACAAUGGGCGAAAGCCUGAUCCAGCAACGCCGCGUGAGGGAUGACGGCCUUCGGAUUGUAAACCUCUUUCAGCAGGGACGAAGCGCAAGUGACGGUACCUGCAGAAGAAGCACCGGCCAACUACGUG